rnacentral:rRNA from 1 species
GACGAACGCUGGCGGCGUGCUUAACACAUGCAAGUCGAACGGAAAGGCCCUGCUUUUGUGGGGUGCUCGAGUGGCGAACGGGUGAGUAACACGUGAGUAACCUGCCCUUGACUUUGGGAUAACUUCAGGAAACUGGGGCUAAUACCGGAUAGGAGCUCCUGCUGCAUGGUGGGGGUUGGAAAGUUUCGGCGGUUGGGGAUGGACUCGCGGCUUAUCAGCUUGUUGGUGGGGUAGUGGCUUACCAAGGCUUUGACGGGUAGCCGGCCUGAGAGGGUGACCGGCCACAUUGGGACUGAGAUACGGCCCAGACUCCUACGGGAGGCAGCAGUGGGGAAUAUUGCACAAUGGGCGGAAGCCUGAUGCAGCAACGCCGCGUGCGGGAUGACGGCCUUCGGGUUGUAAACCGCUUUCGCCUGUGACGAAGCGUGAGUGACGGUAAUGGGUAAAGAAGCACCGGCUAACUACGUGCCAGCAGCCGCGGUGAUACGUAGGGUGCGAGCGUUGUCCGGAUUUAUUGGGCGUAAAGGGCUCGUAGGUGGUUGAUCGCGUCGGAAGUGUAAUCUUGGGGCUUAACCCUGAGCGUGCUUUCGAUACGGGUUGACUUGAGGAAGGUAGGGGAGAAUGGAAUUCCUGGUGGAGCGGUGGAAUGCGCAGAUAUCAGGAGGAACACCAGUGGCGAAGGCGGUUCUCUGGGCCUUUCCUGACGCUGAGGAGCGAAAGCGUGGGGAGCGAACAGGCUUAGAUACCCUGGUAGUCCACGCUGUAAACGGUGGGUACUAGGUGUGGGGUCCAUUCCACGGGUUCCGUGCCGUAGCUAACGCUUUAAGUACCCCGCCUGGGGAGUACGGCCGCAAGGCUAAAACUCAAAGGAAUUGACGGGGCCCCGCACAAGCGGCGGAGCAUGCGGAUUAAUUCGAUGCAACGCGUAGAACCUUACCUGGGUUUGACAUGGAUCGGGAGUGCUCAGAGAUGGGUGUGCCUCUUUUGGGGUCGGUUCACAGGUGGUGCAUGGCUGUCGUCAGCUCGUGUCGUGAGAUGUUGGGUUAAGUCCCGCAACGAGCGCAACCCUUGUUCACUGUUGCCAGCACGUUAUGGUGGGGACUCAGUGGAGACCGCCGGGGUCAACUCGGAGGAAGGUGGGGAUGACGUCAAGUCAUCAUGCCCCUUAUGUCCAGGGCUUCACGCAUGCUACAAUGGCUGGUACAGAGAGUGGCGAGCCUGUGAGGGUGAGCGAAUCUCGGAAAGCCGGUCUCAGUUCGGAUUGGGGUCUGCAACUCGACCUCAUGAAGUCGAAGUCGCUAGUAAUCGCAGAUCAGCAACGCUGCGGUGAAUAAAUUCCCGGG